CGCAGGCCUUCGACCUGCGCUGAGGUAUGUCGCCCUUUCAGGGCU
rfam:Mucilaginibacter sp. OK098 genome assembly, contig: Ga0066759_101